UACGUAGGUGGCGAGCGUUGUCCUGAUUUACUGGGCGUAAAGGGAGCGUAGGCGGACUUUUAAGUGAGAUGUGAAAUACCCGGGCUCAACUUGGGUGCUGCAUUUCAAACUGGAAGUCUAGAGUGCAGGAGAGGAGAAUGGAAUUCCUAGUGUAGCGGUGAAAUGCGUAGAGAUUAGGAAGAACACCAGUGGCGAAGGCGAUUCUCUGGACUGUAACUGACGCUGAGGCUCGAAAGCGUGGGGAGGCGAACAGGAUUAGAUACCCGU
rnacentral:rRNA from 1 species